rnacentral:lncRNA from 1 species
GUGGGACUGGAGGAGCUGGCGGUGGAGAAGAUGGAUAGGGCCAGGCCUGGGCGUCGGCGAGCUUCGUCAGAUUGUUACAGAGGGAAAAAGGAAAAAGUCAUCACCUGCUGAUUUACAGAAGAUAACGAAGUUGUUAACUGUAAAGUCAGAGGAUGUUCUUGCUCAGUCACCACUGCCCAAGCUCAGAGGCUCAGAAUGCUGGGACUUCCCUUUGGAGGGGUGGACAAGAAGCCUAAGAAAUAAAGUCAUCUGUCUAGACCACAAAACCACAAAAGCUGCCCAUGGGUGUCCUCCUAAAGCAUUACCAAAAAGGCAUCUCAAAGUUAUGUUGACGAAUGUUCUAUGGACGGACUUAGGACGAGAAUUCAGAAAGACCCUGCCUAGAAAUGAUGCUAAGUUAUGU